rnacentral:lncRNA from 1 species
UUUCAGAGGCGUAUUGCUACAUUUGGGGCAAUGCGUACAUAUGUGGUUUCGUUAGCUCCAGCGGGGGCUAAUCCUCUGACACAGCCACCUCUCACACGAAACACUGAAUGGAGGCGAUCCCGAGAUGGAUGGAGCAGCGGCAGCGCAGGUUGCUGCACAGCUGUGCUGCCAGAGAUUGUAAUUCAGGAACCAAUCUCAAGCUGAGCAGAGGAAAAAAUGAGAUGCUUCAUGAAAAUGGCCAAAUGUCAUCACCAGCUAUUUUGUGAGAAGAGCUAUGUUAGGAGCCAUCCACAUGUAAAAUGGACUUUCACCAAAUUCCACUCAUCUGCAGGUCGUGGAAGCUCACAACAUGUAUGUCUCCUGAGGGAGCCUUUUCGUUUUGUGCUUUUUCUGGCACUAAGAAAUACAGACACUUGUGAUUUACUACUGGGCACUUAUAGGAAUGGAGUCAACUAUUUCCUAAGAAACUCAAAGACUGAAAUGAGAAAUUCAGAAAAUAAAAAUAUUUUCUGUGUUAGAAAACUAUAUACCAGAAAGCCUGAAAAGUGAGGCAAAGGGCACAGAAAUUCUGGUUAAUAAGAUGUUGUAGAUUAGUGAGAACUUGAACAUGUUUUUGCUUCCAGUAUAUUUUUUGGAAUUUCUAAACUAUAUUAGUUCCAUUUCUUGCCUUAGGAAUUACAGUAUUGUGAUCAUGUGAGAGACAGGACUAAUGGGAAGAUUGGAUGGGAUAAUGGAUCUCCUAAAGUAUCACACACCUAUAGCAACAUGCAAACAAAUGAUACCAAUAAAGUAAUACUAUCGUGAAA